rnacentral:misc_RNA from 1 species
CCAAAUUGAUUGCUUUUCUGUUAGAGGCUGUAACAAGACUUUCAGGAAACAUAUAGAGAUCUCAGAACCAGUUCUCAGCCUAUACGUUUACCUUGUAGAAUAGAAUUGAGUAUCGUCAGCGUAUUCAGGGUAAUUGACGGUGACUACAGACAGAUUGUGGUGAUUGAAUUUAAGCUGAAACCUCCCCACUUUGUGAAAUCCAAUGUCAAGUUUUACACAAUUGUACAAUUAUCGAUCUAUCAUCUGC